ACAAGAGAUUUCGUUGAAGGAAAUAGAAUACAUACAUACUCUAAAUCUUGUGUCACAGUUGCACGUCAUGAAGAUUGAGAUUUUGCUCCAGAUCGACUUCACAGCAUCACACAGCUGGCGCAGAUUUGUCAGCUGUACAUCCACAUUUCCCCUUCUACCAAAUACCAAAGGUGUUCUACUGCUCUAAGUGAGAUCUGAGGACUCUGGAGUAUAACUGGAGUAUAUUGGAGUACAGCAUUUAUCCAGACCAUUCUUCAUAAACCUGAGAGUUGGGAGAGCACCCUGUCUGGCAUCAACAUCCGUCACAUUCAAAAUCACAUAAAUCAUAUUCUACCCCAUUGUGAUUCUUAGGCUGUCUUGGCCAUGUCCACCUGCCUAAAUGCUUUGAGUUGCUGACAUGGGAUUGGCCAACUGGUUAUUUGCUUUAACAAACAGUUGAACAGGCAUUACCAAAUAAAGUGGCUGUUGAAUGUA